CAAUAAUGCACAUGUGAUAUUAUCUACAUAAUUCAGUUUAUACGGCUUCCCAUAUUCCAAUGGUUGUAUUUUGCUAAAUUGCCAUCUACUUACUGGAAUUCUCACAAAUAGAAGUGCAGUCAGAAGGUAAAAAGGAUGGUAUGGUAUGUCUCCAUUCACAUGGUACUGAACUGUUAGUGAUUCUUUGUGUUAUUCUGCAGACUUGAACUUAGUUUAUAUGGUUUUCUUUUUCUGUUCAUAGACGAGAGUAUAGUCUGAAGGGAAAAAUUGGUAUGCUCUGAAGGGUGUGCAAGAACAGUGAGAUUUAUAUUACUGAAUGUAUUGUUAACAAUUUGUUAUUUUGCAGACUUGCUCUCAGUUUUUAUUCUUGGCAGGUGAUUCUUCAUGAUAAUUUUUUGUAGAGGAACAUUUUUGAACUCAGAUUUAUGACAAGGACACAAGCAAAUUUAUAGCAUCCGUUGUGAUGAUACAAGGGAAGUAAGCAUAGAUGCGCUCAACGUGAUGAUAGAUGGGAGAGCUCGGCCUAUGCUGCCAACUGAUCUGCAGCGGUGCAGAAGGAGAUUUCAAAAGCAGGGCAAGCGAGAGCGACUGUUCUAUUGAUGGUCAAAGGGAGGGCUUGGCAAGAGAGAUUGAGGGAGCUCUACUACCUCGAUCUUGGCAUAGAACCUGAUGGCAUCAUGCCCAGGAAACUUCCUUCUUCAGUAUGUAUGGGGAUUUAUAUGACACCAAAAGAGAAGUCCGGCGUGUUUCUUGGUUCUAUGGAACCCCUCGACCGGAAGCAAAUAGAUCACAUCGCAAGUUGCUUGCCCAAUAUAAUCGUGCCGGAAGUUACCAACAUCGCGU